GACGGAGGAUGCAAGUGUUAUCCGGAAUCACUGGGCGUAAAGCGUCUGUAGGUUGUUCAAUAAGUCAACUGUUAAAUCUUGAGGCUCAACUUCAAAAUCGCAGUCGAAACUAUUAAACUAGAGUAUAGUAGGGGUAAAGGGAAUUUCCAGUGGAGCGGUGAAAUGCGUAGAGAUCGGAAAGAACACCAACGGCGAAAGCACUCUGCUGGGCCGACACUGACACUGAGAGACGAAAGCUAGGGGAGCGAAUGGG
rnacentral:rRNA from 1 species